rnacentral:rRNA from 1 species
AUUGAACGCUGGCGGCAGGCUUAACACAUGCAAGUCGAGCGGAGAUGAGGUGCUUGCACCUUAUCUUAGCGGCGGACGGGUGAGUAAUGCUUAGGAAUCUGCCUAUUAGUGGGGGACAACAUUCCGAAAGGAAUGCUAAUACCGCAUACGCCCUACGAGGGAAAGCAGGGGAUCUUCGGACCUUGCGCUAAUAGAUGAGCCUAAGUCGGAUUAGCUAGUUGGUGGGGUAAAGGCCUACCAAGGCGACGAUCUGUAGCGGGUCUGAGAGGAUGAUCCGCCACACUGGGACUGAGACACGGCCCAGACUCCUACGGGAGGCAGCAGUGGGGAAUAUUGGACAAUGGGCGGAAGCCUGAUCCAGCCAUGUCGCGUGUGUGAAGAAGGCCUUUUGGUUGUAAAGCACUUUAAGCGAGGAGGAGGCUACCUGGAUUAAUACUCUAGGAUAGUGGACGUUACUCGCAGAAUAAGCACCGGCUAACUCUGUGCCAGCAGCCGCCGUAA